GUAGGGCACCCUAUAAGGGGGCCGCCUCCCUCCCGGCCUUGCCUAGGACGACUACAGUUCCCUGAAUGCCCCUCUUCUCCUCUUGGGUGUUAUUGCCCCUUUUCCCGUUCGGGACGCGGUAGAAGCCAGCGAGAGUACCAGGCUUAGGGUCCUCUGUGUCCUUCCCCGGGGCAGAGACGAGGCGGUGACUUGCCACUUGGUCGCUGGGCCCGGGAAGGAGCGUAAAGGCCGCCGUCCUUCCUGUCCGGUUCACCUCACCCUUCCUUCCUGUCCUACUCUUCCCGCGGCCGCCUGGACGGCUCCGGGACUGACUGUCUGGGGCAGGGGUGACGGUCGCGGCCGCCCGGGCUGUGGCGAGGCCACGGCCCUCGGGGCGGCGGUAGCGGCGUCAGCGCUGGGGAAGAGGAGGGAAAUGGCGUCGGAGCUGGAGCCGGGGGUACAAGCCAUCGACCGGAGUUUGCUGGAAUAUUCGCCUGAGGAUACCGCGGGGACAUGGCUACAAGCAACUGACCUCACCAGAGAAGUGUACCAGCAUUUAGCCCACUAUGUACCCAAAAUAUACUGCAGGGGUCCCAACCCUUUUCCACAGAAAGAAGACAUGCUGGCACAGCAUGUUUUGUUGGGACCAAUGGAAUGGUACCUUUGUGGUGAAGAUCCUGCGUUUGGAUUUUCAAAACUUGAACAAACAAACAAACUUCUCAUCUUUGUGGUCGUGUUUUUAAAGUAGGAGAGCCUACGUACUCUUGCAGAGACCUGAGAUCUGAUCCGUGCUGCAGGCCUGGAUCUGCUUUAUCUCUGCUUUCAUUAAAACCACAUGGAGCGUCUUUCUGGAGUGUCAAUGUUAUGUGACAACAUGGCUACAAGCAACUGACCUCACCAGAGAAGUGUACCAGCAUUUAGCCCACUAUGUACCCAAAAUAUACUGCAGGGGUCCCAACCCUUUUCCACAGAAAGAAGACAUGCUGGCACAGCAUGUUUUGUUGGGACCAAUGGAAUGGUACCUUUGUGGUGAAGAUCCUGUGUUUGGAUUUUCAAAACUUGAACAAACAAACAAACCUUCUCAUCUUUGUGGUCGUGUUUUUAAAGUAGGAGAGCCUACGUACUCUUGCAGGAUCCUCUUGUGCAUUUAUCAGAAGACAUGAUAGCAAGAACUUAUAACAUUUUUGCUAUAAUGUUUUGGUACGCAGUAGAGAUAUUAACCUGGGAAAAAGAAAAUGAAUUGCCAGGAGACUUAGAGAUGGUAGAAAUACCAGUCGGCAGACAAAGCCACUCAAAGUUCAAGUUAUGCAUUCAUCUAUUGUUGCACACCAGAAUUUUGGUUUGAAAGUUUUAUCUUGGCUGGGAAGUAUUAUUGGAUAUUCAGAUGGUCUUCGCCGGAUUUUGUGUCAAGUUGGUUUACAAGAAGGGCCAGAUGGUGAAAACUCUUCUCUUAUGGAUAGACUAAUGCUUAGUGAUUCCAAACUGUGGAAAGAACUAUGAGUGUUUGCAGAGUGAUUAUGUGACAGAUGACCACGACAGAGAGUUUUCAGUCGCAGACCUCUCAGUACAGAUAUUCACAGUUCCUUCACUUUACUUUAAAUGUUUCACAGCACUGCCUUCUUGCCUCCAUGGUUUCUGAUGAAAAGUCAGCAGUUAAUCUUACUGGAUUUCCCUUGCACAUAAUUAGCUGCUUGGCCCUCCUAUCAGGAAGAUCAACCUGUGGCAAAUGGGAAAGGUGGAGACCUCACCAGGUAAGGAUUUUUUGUCUCUCUUUCUUCAUUAUGCAUUCCCAUGUGUCUUAGGGAGCAUGACCUGACUUUCUCUUAUCUCAGGGAUGUUCUGUUUAUCUAAGCAGAGAAUCAGGACUGCUACCCCAUUCCUACUUCCUUCAACAGACCUGGAUCAGGACACACGCUAACAGCCACACCUCCUGGCCCAACUGACUCUGCAGAUUAACUUUACUUGAAGCUGUACUCCAAAGCAACCCUGCUGCUGACUCUUGUACUCGGUCUGAUUAGUGCUUCGAC